rnacentral:pre_miRNA from 1 species
AAAGUACUCCCUCCGUCCCAAAAUUCUUGUCUUAGAUUUGUCUAGGUACGGAUGUAUCAAGUCACAUUUUAGUAUUAGAUACAUCCGUAUCUAGACAAAUCUAAGACAAGAAAUUUGGGACAGAGGGAGUAGUUG